rnacentral:rRNA from 1 species
AGUGAACGCUGGCGGUAGGCCUAACACAUGCAAGUCGAACGGCAGCACAGUAAGAGCUUGCUCUUACGGGUGGCGAGUGGCGGACGGGUGAGGAAUACAUCGGAAUCUACUUUUUCGUGGGGGAUAACGUAGGGAAACUUACGCCAAUACCGCAUACGACCUACGGGUGAAAGCAGGGGAUCUUCGGACCUUGCGCGAUUGAAUGAGCCGAUGUCGGAUUAGCUAGUUGGCGGGGUAAAGGCCCACCAAGGCGACGAUCCGUAGCUGGUCUGAGAGGAUGAUCAGCCACACUGGAACUGAGACACGGUCCAGACUCCUACGGGAGGCAGCAGUGGGGAAUAUUGGACAAUGGGCGCAAGCCUGAUCCAGCCAUACCGCGUGGGUGAAGAAGGCCUUCGGGUUGUAAAGCCCUUUUGUUGAGAAAGAAAAGCAGCAGGUUAAUACCCCGCUGUUCUGACGGUACCCAAAGAAUAAGCACCGGCUAACUUCGUG